GACGAACGCUGGCGGCGUGCUUAACACAUGCAAGUCGAACGAAGAGCGAUGGAAGCUUGCUUCUAUCAAUCUUAGUGGCGAACGGGUGAGUAACGCGUAAUCAACCUGCCCUUCAGAGGGGGACAACAGUUGGAAACGACUGCUAAUACCGCAUACGAUCCAAUCUCGGCAUCGGGACUGGAUGAAAGGUGGCCUCUAUUUAUAAGCUAUCACUGAAGGAGGGGAUUGCGUCUGAUUAGCUAGUUGGAGGGGUAACGGCCCACCAAGGCGAUGAUCAGUAGCCGGUCUGAGAGGAUGACCGGCCACAUUGGGACUGAGACACGGCCCAGACUCCUACGGGAGGCAGCAGUGGGGAAUCUUCCGCAAUGGACGAAAGUCUGACGGAGCAACGCCGCGUGAGUGAUGACGGCCUUCGGGUUGUAAAGCUCUGUUAAUCGGGACGAAUGGUUCUUGUGCGAAUAGUGCGAGGAUUUGACGGUACCGGAAUAGAAAGCCACGGCUAACUACGUG
rnacentral:rRNA from 1 species